CGCUGCAUUUUAAAACACUGGAUGAAUUGGUUGUGGAACUGUGAACUGUGCUGUUCAACUUUUUUGUUGAGAUGGAGAAGGUGAAUCAGAGUCAGUCUGCUUGCAGGAGGAGAAUCUAUUGUCAGCAACUUAGACCGCAACGUGCAAUGUCUGGAAGCAACACCAUCAUGGGCAGCUGAGUCUGAUUACCGCUUAAUGUUGAAUAUACUUGUGUGUACAGUAUAUGGUAAUGUUUGAAUAAAUGUUAUAAU